CCUCUCUCUGACCGCAGAUUAUAUAGUUGCCUCGCGUGGAAGGCGCAACAUUUCUUUCAUGCACGAAGUCGCAGGACUUUCUAUUGAGAGAGAAAUCGAGCGGUAGAGAGAGAAGCAACCGCCUGUGUGACUGUGCUUGAUACUUCAUCGCUGUAUGGUGGCGGAGCCGACGACCAUGGACGAACCUGUGGUAAAGAACGACAAGCUCAUCUCGAGAUUCAAGAAUCACGAAGAGAAAGAAGAAGGCGGAGGUGGCGAUGACGACGAUACUGCCGAUGACGAACAAUGUGAUGCGGAGGUUUGGGACAAGCUCAGCCUGAGUUUCCGUCAGGCGCAAUUGGUGCUCGAUCAGAACCGUGUCUUGAUCCAGCAGGUGAACGAGAACCACCAGUCCAAGAUCCCGGACAAUCUCGUGAAGAAUGUUGCUUUGAUUGGCCAGAUUAAUGCGACGGCGGCAGCGGGCUACCAUGGUCUCUGCCGAGGACGGCAAGGAUUAGAAGAUUUACAAUAAGGCGGCGGAAAGCACGCCCAGGAGAAAGUGCAGUAAUUCUUUGUUACUUUUGAGCUUUGAUACUUUUUACUUUGCCAUCCAGGAUGUCUGUGUGGGUAUACUUAUUUGAUCUAGGAGUUGUUUCAUAAAAUGUGUCAGUCAGGGUGUCAUUAUUUGAUUAUGUUUUGAGAUAGUAGAUUGACAGGUCAUUAUCGAAGGAGAAGUUGUUUUGCGUAUUUGAUGACGGUAUGUCUAAAUAUGAAUUAUUGCUUAUUUUGUGCUCUGUUAUGUUGUUUCCUUUGUUAUAAGGAGGAUUGAAGGUUGCGGGUCUGCAUUUCUGCAUUAUCCACCCGCAAUAUGAGAGAUUGUAGCCAGGGAUAUCUGGUACGAAUUACAGGGCUGAUCUUCCAGAGAUGCUUUUUGUGUCUGGUUAACUGGAACCCUUCAUUUACCUAUACCCAAACAUUUAAACUCCUAGGAUGAUCUUGUGCAUUUUUAUUGCCCUACCUUUCUGGAGGAGCCUUCUUUUGUUGAGGUUGCUUUUGACAAUCUGUGCUUGACCUUAGAUGAAGUGGUCAUCUUCUCUCGGACUUUAGACGAGUCCUCUUCUCUUGGACCAAUGGUUUUGUUGGUUUCCAAUGUGAAACUAAACACCCUCAAAAUUGAUUACAAAUGAGGGUCGGUUCAGUUUUUGUCAUGUUAAGACCAGUUGGUUUAGCUUGGUUUUGUUGUGAUUCAAUUUGAGUAAGAGGGAUUAUUCCAUA